rnacentral:tRNA from 1 species
GUAGACGUUAGCUCAGUGGUUAGAGCACAGGCCUCUGGCUCUCGGGUCCGCGAGUUCGAGUCCCGCCGUCUACU